AUUGAACGCUGGCGGCAGGCUUAACACAUGCAAGUCGAGCGGAGAUGAGGUGCUUGCACCUUAUCUCAGCGGCGGACGGGUGAGUAAUGCUUAGGAAUCUGCCUAUUAGUGGGGGACAACAUUCCGAAAGGAAUGCUAAUACCGCAUACGUCCUACGGGAGAAAGCAGGGGAUCUUCGGACCUUGCGCUAAUAGAUGAGCCUAAGUCGGAUUAGCUAGUUGGUGGGGUAAAGGCCUACCAAGGCGACGAUCUGUAGCGGGUCUGAGAGGAUGAUCCGCCACACUGGGACUGGGACACGGCCCAGACUCCUGCGGGAGGCAGCAGUGGGGAAUAUUGGACAAUGGGGGGAACCCUGAUCCAGCCAUGCCGCGUGUGUGAAGAAGGCCUUAUGGUUGUAAAGCACUUUAAGCGAGGAGGAGGCUACAGAGACUAAUACUCUUGGAUAGUGGACGUUACUCGCAGAAUAAGCACCGGCUAACUCUGUGCCAGCAGCCGCAGUAACAC
rnacentral:rRNA from 1 species